AUACGGAGGGUGCGAGCGUUAAUCGGAAUUACUGGGCGUAAAGUGCGCGUAGGCGGAUAAUUAAGUCAGAUGUGAAAUCCCCGGGCUCAACCUGGGAACUGCAUUUGAUACUGAUUAACUAGAGUAUGGUAGAGGUGAGUGGAAUUUCCGGUGUAGCGGUGAAAUGCGUAGAGAUCGGAAGGAACACCAGUGGCGAAGGCGACUUCCUGGCCAAAAACUGACGCUGAGGUGCGAAAGCGUGGGUAGCAAACGGGAUUAGAAACCCUUGUAGUCC
rnacentral:rRNA from 1 species